GACCUGAUAGCACAAUGGUUAGUGCGUCUGCUGUAUUUGUAUGCUAUUCUCACUCCUUCAGUAGAAAGUCCCUCGUUCGACUCGGGGUCAGGUCA